AGGGGGAUAACAGUCAGAAAUGGCUGCUAAUACCGCAUAAGCGCACAGAGCUGCAUGGCUCAGUGUGAAAAACUCCGGUGGUAUAAGAUGGACCCGCGUUGGAUUAGCUGGUUGGUGGGGUAACGGCCCACCAAGGCGACGAUCCAUAGCCGGCCCGAGAGGGUGAACGGCCACAUUGGGACUGAGACACGGCCCAGACUCCUACGGGAGGCAGCAGUGGGGAAUAUUGCACAAUGGGGGAAACCCUGAUGCAGCGACGCCGCGUGAAGGAAGAAGUAUCUCGGUAUGUAAACUUCUAUCAGCAGGGAAGAUAGUGACGGUACCUGACUAAGAAGCCCCGGCUAACUACGUGCCAGCAGCCGCGGUAAUACGUAGGGGGCAAGCGUUAUCCGGAUUUACUGGGUGUAAAGGGAGCGUAGACGGUGUGGCAAGUCUGAUGUGAAAGGCAUGGGCUCAACCUGUGGACUGCAUUGGAAACUGU
rnacentral:rRNA from 1 species